rnacentral:rRNA from 1 species
AGAUUGAACGCUGGCGGAAUGCUUUACACAUGCAAGUCGAACGGCAGCACGGGACUCAGGCAACUGAGCCCUGGUGGCGAGUGGCGAACGGGUGAGUAACAUAUCGGAACGUACCCAGUCGUGGGGGAUAACUCUCCGAAAGGAGAGCUAAUUUACCGCAUACGUCCUGAGGGAGAAAGCGGGGGACCUAAGGGUAAACUGAGGGCCUCGCGCGAUUGGAGCGGCCGAUAUCGGAUUAGCUAGUUGGUGAGGUAAAGGCUCACCAAGGCGACGAUCCGUAGCGGGUCUGAGAGGACGACCCGCCACACUGGAACUGAGACACGGUCCAGACUCCUACGGGAGGCAGCAGUGGGGAAUUUGGACAAGUGGGGCAACCCUGAUCCAGCCA